rnacentral:rRNA from 1 species
UACAGGAGGGGGCAAGCGUUAUUCGGAAUUAUUGGGCGUAAAGGGCGCGUAGGCGGCUAUUCAAGUGGCGGGUGAAAUCCCUCGGCUUAACCGAGGAACUGCCUGCCAGACUGGAUGGCUUGAGACCGGGAGAGGUGAGUGGAAUUCCCAGUGUAGCGGUGGAAUGCGCAGAUAUCAGGAGGAACACCGAUGGCGAAGGCAAUCCCCUGGGCCUGUACUGACGCUCAUGCACGAAAGCGUGGGGAGCAAACGGG